UAGUUUUUGAUUUUAUUUAACGUUUGUCUGUGUGGUUGUAGUCAGAAUUGUAAGCAGUAACGUUAUUAGUGAUUGCUCUAUAUCCUCAUUUUGUGCUUCAGUCUGAAACAUAUCGGCAUGGCAGCUAAAGGUCCAUGAUGUUUGCCUACUACAUUUCAGCUGCUUUGUCUACCCAUUCACAGGCUAUGUAGUGUCGGUGAGUCCUGUUAUCAGAGGUUGUUAUAAUACUCAAAACAAUUUGCUCCGAAUGUCAGUCUUUAGGUUUUAUGGUAUUUCUGUUCUCUUUUUUUCAGUGUUGUGUGAAUGUGGAAAUGUAAGGAGUGUUCAGAAUUGGUAUCAAGUAGGUCCCAACUUUUGCAUCAUUACAAGUUAAAGCACCCACAUUAUGGCCGUACUGUCCGUUACCCAUGUACAUACAUUGACUGUCCAUGCACAUUUAAGACCUGGAAUGCCUUAAUUGUGCACCAAAGUAAAGUCCACUCAACAGAAGUUACAAAAAAUCUGACUGAGAAGUGUUCCUUCACUGUAUGUGGAGGAUGGAGAACCAGUUUGAAAUACAAACUGGCAAACUACCGCACUCGCCUGAGAAGACUGGGAUGUCCAGAGGUGACGAUAAACUCCUUGAAGCACAAACCUGCAGAGAAGUCAAGUGCAGCCUAUGGUGUUAAAAAUCCAAAGAGAGCAGAAUUGAACUUUUGCCCCACAUAUCCCUCAGGAGAAACAGAAGAGCGCCUCGAGGACAUGCGGAAAGCUCUACUGUCCGAUGUGAAGGAAAGAAACAACAGAGACACAGUGAAGUUCAAAGUUAAGAAGACAUUUGCAUACAGGAGACAUGAAGUUGUCCGUGACGCACCCAUGGUAGAGGACUUUGUGGCAAGAUGGACUGUGCUUUUUGAAGUCAUUGAUGUAAAUUAGCCAUGCUUGUCUUAUUGUUGAUCUAUUGGUUAUGUUAUCUGGGAUUUGUUGGUGAAGGUAGAAUAUUAUUUUCCCUCAGCUUGCCACAUAAGUGAUCCUUAUUCAGAGUUAUCACCAUUUGUGCUGACUGCCUAGUUAUUUCUCUCCCUAUAGAGAACAAUCUAGUUUGCUGCAUGUGUGAUCAUAUCCAGUCUAUUUUCCUUUCUGCAGUUUUUAAUCAAAUUACUAUUUUCAGGUCAAUGCCGAGUUUAAGAGAAUCACCACAACCCCACUCCAGUCCAAUUGUAUUUCUCAACUUGAUAUACACUCAGAUAACCUGCUGAAGUUGUUCCAAAAAAGGAGGACGACAGCUGGGCAGAAGACUCAUAUCAAUCAUCGCACCUAUGACUGAUAAUAGCAACAUAGAUGUCAGACGAGAGUUCAUCAUAAAGGGAGUGUGUGUGUAUAUGGGUGAAGACCCAGAAAACCUUGUUCAGGAACGUGGGCAUAGAUGAAGAGUCCACCAAGGCAGCCAUUGAGGACACUACUGUGGGGAUCUACAUUAUCAAAGACCAUGUGAGUGAGGAACCAGAGGACACUGGGAUUAUCCUUGAAGGCGUCAAUGUGCUGCAGAAUCUGGGCAACGUAGAAUUUGCUGUUGCAAUGCUGCUCGGCCUCAUGUAUGCCAUGAACCUCAGUUACAAAACUGAGCUCCGCUACAAGUCUUUCAGAAGGUUUUUAUGGAACUGAAUGGGGAAAACUUAACAAAGUUGUUGCAUUUAAAAACAGGCUGUUUCAGUGAGCUGUUUUGUUGUGUUUCAGACUGUAGGUUGUGUUUCACACAACCUGACUUAUGUUGAACUUGUUAGAUUGUUCACAAAAACUCAAAACAGAAUGAGCAUGUCCAAAGAUGGAGCUAUCGUGAUUUUGUUAGACAUUUUGUAUGGUGUUUUGAGUAGAUGCCCUUCAUUUUCUUUGCAGCUUAUGGAAAAAGUUCAGUUUCACUUUGUAGUGACUUUUACUCAAUAGAAUUAACAUGCACCAAUAUGUACACAUACCUACCUCAUUCUUUGUCUGUUACUCCUUAUGAAAAAUAACUGCCUCAUUUUGUAACAAAAUGCAUUCGAGAGUGUGACCAAUCAUUGUUAGGACAACUCUUUUUUUAUACAGAUAUAUAGCCUACAUUACUGUGAUUUAGACCUGUGCAAUUCAUUGAACGCUGAAUGUCAGUGAAUGGACAUUUGUCAUUCCAAAGAGCUGAACCGUUACAAAAAAAUACAGUAAUUUUUUAAACACA